CUGGCGGCGUGCUUAACACAUGCAAGUCGAGCGAUGAAGCUUCUUCGGAAGUGGAUUAGCGGCGGACGGGUGAGUAACACGUGGGUAACCUGCCUCAUAGAGGGGAAUAGCCUUCCGAAAGGAAGAUUAAUACCGCAUAAGAUUGUAAUAUCGCAUGAUAUAGCAAUUAAAGGAGUAAUCCGCUAUGAGAUGGACCCGCGUCGCAUUAGCUAGUUGGUGAGGUAACGGCUCACCAAGGCGACGAUGCGUAGCCGACCUGAGAGGGUGAUCGGCCACAUUGGGACUGAGACACGGCCCAGACUCCUACGGGAGGCAGCAGUGGGGAAUAUUGCACAAUGGGGGAAACCCUGAUGCAGCCAACGCCGCGUGAGUGAUGACGGUCUUCGGGUUGUAAAGCUCUGUCUUCAGGGACGAUAAUGACGGUACCUGAGGAGGAAGCCACGGCUAACUACGUGCCAGCAGCAGC
rnacentral:rRNA from 1 species